UGCAACCCCUUUACGUAAUAAAAUAAAGUAAAUUCAACAUAACAUUUUUUUCAGUGUGUGAACAAAAGCAGGCCAGGCACAUGUGCAGGGAGCUUUUUCUCAGAACAAGAUGAGAAAGUAAGUAUUUAUCAAUAUUAAAGAUGUUAAAAAAAUCUUGUCUUUCGAUGAUCUGAAAUACAAUGGUGUUGAGUCCAUAUCAAGUUUUUUUCUUUACACUAUGCAUGACAUUUGUGUGAAAUAUAAAAUGAAUUUAUAUGACAAGCCACCUAUCUUUAAUGAAUAAUCAGUGCUAAAUUUUGUCAUGUGACCUGAGUCAAAGAAAGAGUCAUCUUUUUGUCUCUGUUGUUUGGACUGAUCCUGGAAAACUGUCAGCUGUGUGAGAGCUAACACAGUCAGGUGUCACACAGACUUUACAUUGAUUUAUUUAGCCACUUUUUUCUACAGUGCGUUACUCACUUUUAUCUAAAAUGAUUAAUCUGUUAAAGAUACAUAAAAUGGUGUUUACGAAGAAAAUUACAGUAGAAAAUGACAGUAUAGGGAAACUUUUGCUACAUUAUUUUUGACAUGUGACAGGUACUGUUCUGAUUGGCCCAGCUGGUCACAUGACUACGCCUCUCUGGAUGACAAUCUCUGCUGUCAUCCUGCCAGUUACAAAAGCACAAUUCUGUAGUAUUUUUAUCUCAACUGACAGCUCCAUAUUAGUACAAGAAUCAACACUUUAUGGAUAAUGAUUCACUGUUAAAAUAAAGGAUGCUUUAUUUGUUCUUAGCAGCUGUGAAGUUUUAGUUGUGCUGAUACAUGUGUCUUUCACUUUCUUUUAAUUUCUUGUGUAGGUUAAAAGACUGCGUGAAGCUCAUAAAAUUAUUUUAAUACUGAACUACUAAAACAGCUAAAGUUGAUACUGAUAAAUCUGAUAAAUAAAAAAAUAAAAAACAUUUUGUCUCAAAGAUGGUCCAUAUAGAGCAUAAAAAACAACUGCUCUUUGUUCUACAAGGUAAAUAAAUGUACAUUUAUAAUUUGAUCAUGAUAACAGGUGUUACAAAAUAAUAGGUAAUUGUUUUAACCCCAUAAUAUUGAAAGUCAGUGUUCAGUUCAGUAUUGCUCUUUAAUACUUAAGCAAAAAAAACAAAAAAACCCCCAAAGGUAUACAACUUUAUGCAUUCUUAUGUAUACAAUGAGUUUAGCAGUUAAAUGUAAAAUUAUAUUUUUAUGACAGCAAUGACGUCAUCUACAUGUAUGCUAUGCCUGUACAAAACUCAAUGGAGACGCUGAACAUUGUUAACAAACCUGUAAGUUUAUCUGAUUCAUUCACUGGUCACAUUGCUAUUCAUAUAAGAUUAUUGUGUGUGUGUGAGUGCUGGAAUAAAAAAAAAAUGUGGCUAAUGGAUAAAUUGAGGUCAUAUGUCUACAUGGAAAUCAAUGACAUAUUUUCAUAGUUUUUCUUCCUUUUUAUAUAUAUGCAUAUGAUUACUUUAGAGAAAACCAUAUCACCAUGUGACUAAAAAGUACCUUUUAUCUGAGAUUUCCCAUGUCUGUUUCAGUCACACUUUAGUUUGGGGGUCAGUUCUCUAUUAAAUAACUAUUAACUUGCCUCAGUAAUCUCCUUGUUUACUACUUAAUUAUUUACUAACUUAAUAAAUUAAUAGUUAUUAAGGUAGUUGUUGAGUUUAGGCAUGGAGUCAGGUUAAGGGAUCUAGAAUACGGUCAUGAAGAAUAAAGCAUGUGCUUUAUAAGAACUAAAAAAGAGUCAAUAUGCUAUUAAUAUGCAUGCUAAUAAGCAACUAGUCAAUAUUGAGAACUGAUUUCGAAACCAAAGUGUUAUGUGAAUUUCUGACAUACACUGUUUUUGUGUGUUCUCCAAGGCCCAGACUUCUAAGAUCUCUCAUGUCAGGAGUUUGAACAGCACAUUUCUGAGAGGCAAACGAAAAUAACAUCUUAGUUAAUUUCCACUGUCCCUAGUAUUUAUCCAACAAACCAAAGCUCUCAUGCUUUCCCAUAGGAUUUUUUUGGGUUGUUGUUUCAGACUGUUUUGCUCAUAUUAUAGUAUAUUUGCACAUAUUACUGUAACAUACAGUACAACACAUACAGUAAGAGAACUAUAUAUUUAACAUGGAAAACAUUGUUCAGAUCAUUUGGUUUAGAAAGAAUUUGCUGAUAAAUUUUUCCAAGACUUUUGAUCUUGGAAAUCUGUCUCAUUCUACUCUUUUUUCAGUCUCACUGAUGCAACUAAAAAUAUCUCACUUGUUGUUUUCCUCAGUUUAGAUACAAAUAGUACAUCCCAUUCUGUGAAUCUCCACGCUAGUCAAUAAAAUGACUCUCACAGAGACAGAAGUUUUUAGUUAAGCUGAUGAGCACCUCCUAGAGUACUUCGCAGUUUGUUGUGCUGUGGGAUUACAACAUUUCAACAUGCCGCUGAUGGCAGAUAGAACCAGAUCCAAGCUGGCUAUGACUAAAGGGGUUUGAAAUGGUCUUAUCUUAUCAAAUUUCAGCUUCACAAGAAGAAAUUGAUAUCUUAGAGGAGGCUGUCAUUGUGUCAGCAGAUGCCCUAUGUUUACUGGAUUUUAACUUCAGUGAUCUUGAUAUGUCCCAUACUGCCAUGAGUCAGGCCGUUGUGCGUAUGUUCUCAAUUUGCCCCAGGAGUUCAGCAUUGCCUACAAGGUUUCUGGUAAUCCUGCUUGGCUCUUCUAACUAACGUCACUAAAUCACACCAAAGCUUUGAGUAAUACAUUUGUGUAAGCUGUGGAUCUAGAAUUGGUAUUUCCUUUUCUUUUUCAGACCCUGUGUCAGUGGGUUUUGGGCAUACGGAUGUGCUACAGAAGCAAUGUAGUCUAUCAUAAGUAAAGUCAUGCAUUAUGCACCGCCCAGUGCAUGUUUGCCCCACUGCAGAGUGCAUUAAAAGGAAGAGAACGAAGUUCUACAAACUCGCUCAGAAUAACAACUGUCUAUGGAAAGAUGAAGGACAUGGAAAACUGCUGAGAGGUCAUUGCUAAUGACAGCAAGCGACCUAUGUGCAAUGACCAAACCAUGGCCAGUUCAGAAGUGGUUGAGCUUCUCCCACACACAUUUACAUGCAUGCAUGCAGAUUGCUGAACUUGUAGCAACAGAACUGUACGCACAAGGAGACCGAGAGAAGUGUGAAUACAACAUUCAGCCAAAUGAUUCGAUGGACUGUGAAAACUCCACACAUUUACCCCCAUAUCAACUGACUAUGACUAUAUCAACGGGAUUUGCUCUUCGCUCUUCGAGGUCCUGGCCAGCAUUUGUGUGUCCCGUUUCCUUCUAAAAGAAGGUUGCUGAAGGAACAUAAAACAAUGGCAGAACUCUUUUUGUUAACCAUGCAUAGAGUGGACCAAGUAUGACUCAAAGUUGUAUCUGAUAUUCAGAUUAUUACUAUGUAUGAUGAAAUAAAAUACGUUAAUAUUAUAAUAAAAGCAUUUCACACUCUC